rnacentral:lncRNA from 1 species
ACGCCACGGGGCCAGGCAGUUGAGGGCAGCUAGGGUGUCAGACUUGCCCAGAGGGACGUGGGCUGCAGCAAGUGGAAAGAGAAUCAUAGCAGCCACUGGCUUUGCAGCCACACGGACCAAAGUUCAAAUCCCAGUAACUCACGCUCUGGCAGUGUGAUCUUGAGUAUCACGAACACCUCUGAGCCUCGGUGUCCUCAUGAAAUGGGGAGAAGAGUUGAGGUUCUCGUAGUGAUCAGCGAGCUGAUGUCUGUGCAGGCCUAGCACAGGGACUGGCACACAGGGACUCUGAUCAGGGGAGGGAAAGCAGUGAGAGAGCAUAGCUUCCCAGAGAGCUCUGAAGGGGUCGGGGGACCAAAGGGGAAAGAAAAUCACAAGCUCUCUUUGGGACUACCUGUAGGGUGAGCCAGGUUUCAUGAGCAAGGAAAACCUCCACUUCAUUUCCAGUCUCUCCAUAAAGCCUGAUGUUCCUCCUUUUGUGUUCCUCUGGGUUAU